rnacentral:lncRNA from 1 species
AAAACAAAAUUGAAUGACUGAAGGACACAAGGAAUUAUGAGGCUUGUAUAAUACAGAGUUUAUCUCCCUGGCUUCCAAAGGAAAAUUGGCUUACAUGUGUGACUUGAGAAAAGAUUUAAUUGAAAAGAAGCCUUACUAAUUGCAUUCAGUGAAGUGAAAUGCCCUUGAAAAAGACCAUUUAUUGAUUAAAUCACAUUACCAGCAGAGCUAUUAAUCUGAAUAAUUUCAUUCUAAUGAGAUUUGGAGAAUAUUCUUUCAUGCUUUGUACAGAAAAAUUAUUUUCACUAAGUGGAAUAUUUUUUUUACCAAUAUUAACAAUAAUCAUGAACACCAAAGAUUUUGUAGUUCUUCCAUGGGGAAAAACUGGAAAUUCUGUAAAACUAAAAUAUAAAAAUGUUCAAGAACUGCGAAUGGAAAAAUUACAAUUAGAAUUGGAGAACCAAAAGAUGGAAAAGAAAUUACAAGAAUUCCAGUCAUCAAGGAAUAGAGAAAAGGAGCAAAUAAAGUGGGUAAAUUUUUCAGAGAAUUUCUGAAGAAUAAACUAAAUUAUAUAAAGAAGUAUAUAUUAAUUUUACGCCUAGGAAAAUGUUUGGUAUGUGAUCAUUUUCAGUU